UGGGUAACCUGCCCUUAAGUGGGGGAUAACAUUUGGAAACAGAUGCUAAUACCGCAUAGAUCCAAGAACCGCAUGGUUCUUGGCUGAAAGAUGGCGUAAGCUAUCGCUUUUGGAUGGACCCGCGGCGUAUUAGCUAGUUGGUGAGGUAAUGGCUCACCAAGGCGAUGAUACGUAGCCGAACUGAGAGGUUGAUCGGCCACAUUGGGACUGAGACACGGCCCAAACUCUACGGGAGGCAGCAGUAGGGAAUCUUCCACAAUGGACGCAAGUCUGAUGGAGCAACGCCGCGUGAGUGAAGAAGGCUUUCGGGUCGUAAAACUCUGUUGUUGGAGAAGAAUGGUCGGCAGAGUAACUGUUGUCGGCGUGACGGUAUCCAACCAGAAAGCCACGGCUAACUACGUGCCAGCAGCCGCGGUAAUACGUAGGUGGCAAGCGUUAUCCGGAUUUAUUGGGCGUAAAGCGAGCGCAGGCGGUUUUUUAAGUCUGAUGUGAAAGCCCUCGGCUUAACCGAGGAAGCGCAUCGGAAACUGGGAAACUUGAGUGCAGAAGAGGACAGUGGAACUCCAUGUGUAGCGGUGAAAUGCGUAGAUAUAUGGAAGAACACCAGUGGCGAAGGCGGCUGUCUGGUCUGUAACUGACGCUGAGGCUCGAAAGCAUGGGUAGCGAACAGGAUUAGAUACCCUGGUAGUCCAUGCCGUAAACGAUGAAUGCUAGGUGUUGGAGGGUUUCCGCCCUUCAGUGCCGCAGCUAACGCAUUAAGCAUUCCGCCUGGGGAGUACGACCGCAAGGUUGAAACUCAAAGGAAUUGACGGGGGCCCGCACAAGCGGUGGAGCAUGUGGUUUAAUUCGAAGCAACGCGAAGAACCUUACCAGGUCUUGACAUCUUUUGAUCACCUGAGAGAUCAGGUUUCCCCUUCGGGGGCAAAAUGACAGGUGGUGCAUGGUUGUCGUCAGCUCGUGUCGUGAGAUGUUGGGUUAAGUCCCGCAACGAGCGCAACCCUUAUGACUAGUUGCCAGCAU
rnacentral:rRNA from 2 species